rnacentral:rRNA from 1 species
UACAGAGGGUGCAAGCGUUAAUCGGAGUUACUGGGCGUAAAGGGCGCGUAGGCGGUUAUGAGAGUGUGAUGUGAAAGCCCUGGGCUUAACCUAGGAAGUGCAUCGCAAACGCCAUAACUGGAGUAUAAGAGAGGGUGAUGGAAUUUCCGGUGUAGCGGUGAAAUGCGUAGAGAUCGGAAGGAACGUCAAUGGCGAAGGCAGUCACCUGGCUUAAUACUGACGCUGAGGCGCGAAAGCGUGGGGAUCAAACAGG